CAUGUCGGCCAAUAAGCUGUGUGCUUGAAGUUAGCACAGGGCUACUUACAGCAGCUGGUAUUUGAAUAGGAAUGUGUUUUUCUUCAAGAUGUACCAAGCUGAACGCAUGAUCCAAGAACUGAACCAUGUUUGUUACAGCGUUCGCUGUGGGAGUAGAUGUUCACCAGGACCGAUGAUGAUGCCGGACUCUCUUCAGAUUCUGAAUCAGAAGGAGAUGAAGCAAAAUAAAUUGAUGAUAGUGACUGCAUAACUUUGGAGAACAUUUGUAGUUUCUAGCUGACAUUAACCCAAGACGAGGAUGAUGAAGAAAGCUUUGGACUGGCAGCAGAGGAGCUAGAACGUAAGAUAUCAGAAGCUAUUGCCAUCACAACAUUUGAAGAAGACAGAGACAGUGAAAUGUAGAAGAUCCGUAACUUUGACUGUAAAUGCUACGGGAGAAGAAAACAUAAUUUUUCUCUUGGAACACAGUCUUGUACCCGCAAACUUUCUCCAGAGACCAUGUGCAACAUACAGAGGGAUUUCUUAACAGCAGAAAGAGAGUGGGAGGACAUGAGAAUCAUCUGACAUCUUGAAGCAAACCGGCAUACAGUAGAAACGUUAGCGAUGACAACAUCCACCAAGAAGACACCAGCGAAAAGAAAACAUGCUAGAACAACUUAUUGGAUCAGAGGCAUCGAAGUCUGCAGGAAUACCUUUCAGUUUCACAUGGACUCCUGUCGGUCCCAUCUCAGUUGCUCUCCUUUUAUGGAGAUGUUCAAAGCCGUCAGUGGGACGCCGAGUGGAAGACAUCAUUUGAAUUUCAAAGGCCUGACAGAACACAUUGCUUCUAUAAAGUGUAAAGGUCCUUUUGACAAGAAAGUGUCCUCAAAAUUAAUCAUCUACAUUGAGAGUUCUUUACAGGCUACCUCCACUGCCAGCAGGGCAAGCAGCCAAAGAGGUUGUUACAGAGAAUAGGAAGAUAUUGCCAGACUUCAUAAAAAGAAAUAUAUAGCCACAACCCUCCCACACCAUGCUGAUUCCAGGCCCGAACAUUGUUUUAUGAGGCAAGCAGCAUGAGGUUAACUGGUCCCAUUUGUGCUUCUUAUUCACAUCUGUGCAUUUCUUCUGUUUAGUGCAAAAAAGGUUCUUAAAUCGUGUCAUUGCCAAUGCACCCCAGGGAGAUGUAAAAUGAUCCAUGAAAACACAAAGCUGGAGCUUCUCCUGAGGCCCCGAUGAUGAGACAUACGGCAGCAAUGAGCAUAAGACAGCCUCUAGUCAUCAGUGCUACGGGCUAAUUAGCCAUCACUAAUGUGAAGCAGCUUGAUUUACAGGGCCUGUCCCUUUUACGUCUCCAUGGACACAAUAUGAUCACUAAGGACUGGUGUAGGCCCACUACAUGAUACCAUAAAAAAGCACUUAUGGCCACUUAGUAUACUGUCAUAAGUCACCAUGUGAAGGAGUGUGUAGAGUGUGUCUAGAACCAUGGGAUAUUUCAACACUACACAUGCUUUCAUGUUUUAGUGUGCUAAAGGAUAAAAAUAUCUUUGAAGCAAAAGGGAUUCUGAAACUACCGGUGGACCAUCAUCAUUUAACAAUCGUUUUGCAACAAUCGUUUUUUAACAUUGAAGUCCCAACUUCAAGUAGUAAUUUCAUUUAGCGGAGCAUUGAAAGCCCUUCCAAAAUGUAGUACACUAAGAUAAUGAAUUGCAUGUUAAAAGCUAAGAAACCUUAAAAUCCACCAUUCUUGUAUAUUUUACUCUGUUUUCGUGACCCAAAACAGAAUAUUCAUCACAACAAUUGUCACAACUUCAACAUUUUUAGAUGUUGACUUGACACUUUCAGUUAUUGUCCUUAGAUUAAAGUGCUUCCUUUUUCGAUGAUCUGAAUAAAUAGUCCUUUAUUCAACCAGCAGAUCAAGUUUGUUACUUCAGAAAAGUAUGCAUUUCCACCAUAAUAACAGCUACAGAAAAUUGGACUUUUAAAAGCAAACCUUAGUUAAAUUCUGAAAUAAAUAUAAACACAUAUAGCUUUCAAAUAAUUACCUUACUAGUUAGCGCAUUAAAUGGCAUUAAAAAUGAUGUGAAUUUUAAGGGUUAAACCAUAUGCAACCCCACUCAUACUCCUAUUUUUUAGCAAUUUUGACAGGGACACUAGUUUUUAUUCAGAUUAGAAAAUGAUGUGCUCACUUAUCAAAUCUCAUUUAAGUACAUAGGCCACUAAAAACAUGAAUCAACAGGCUAUUAGGAAUAGGAAUCGUAUUUUGAGUGAACAGUAGCGCAAUCACAAAUAAAACAACUGGAACAAAAACAACAGCUGCACAAGCACUCGUAGUACAGUAUGGUAGGUACUUAAAGCAAAUCCAUUUCUGUACCGAUACAAGAGAUCCUGGUAAAAGGGAAUCAAAAUAUUUAACAUAAAAGUAAUUACAGAGCUGCCUUUUGAUACUGAUUAGUGUAUAAAAGUAAUCUGUUGAAAUGAUUUUGUCAUGUUAUGAAUUCUUUUUUAUUCAUUAGAUUAAGCUGAGCAUCUUAAAAUUAUUAUAUUGUCCUUUCUAAUAGAUGUUAUUUCUUUUCUGUAAGUGGAAUCUAAGGCUACAUAGUGUUUAUUUUUCAUGUCUGAUACCUAUAUUACAAUAACGUUUCUCUCAUCUACCUUCACACAUGUAUGAGUUUGUGUGACAUCCCACUCUUAAUCCAUAGGGUUUAAUGUGAUGUUACCCUCUCCUUUGCAGCUAUAACUGCUUCAACUAUUCUGGGAAGGCUUUUCUAUUGGGGUUAGGAGAGUGCAUUUGUGAAACUUGUACCAUUCUUCCAGGAGAGCUUUUAUGAGGUCAGACACUGAUGUUGGAUGAGUAAGUGUUGCUUACAACCUCAGCUCUAAUUCAUCCUGAAGGUGUUCUAUAAAGUUGAGGUCUUGCUUGGUGGACUAGUUUGCACUCAUUGGUACAGAAAAGGGCCAUUCCCAAACUGUUCAUACAGGACUGAGAACAUAAAAUUGUCAAAAAUGUCUUGUGUGAUGUCACGUUUGAUUCAGAGAGGACAUACUCAACUCUUUUGUCCUUUAUUGUGAUUGAAGCUGGACAGAUAUUUUUCUAUAUGCAUCACCAGCAGCAACCCAAAUAAAUCAGAACAGAUAUUUAGUCUUCAUUUGUUAAUUCACAACUAAUAUACUUGACUUUAUUUUAAAUGAUCCAGAGUUCACCUUUUGGCAAUACAUUUAACUAUGAUGUGACAAAUGGUUUAUUUCUGCUUUACUUUGUACUCUCAUGUGAUGCCUAGAACCAUCUUAGCCCACACUGUUCAUCUCUGUCAUCCUGGUGUUGUAUGCUAUAUUGUAUACACAGAAUACCAAAUGUGUUAAUCUGCUUUUUAAUGCCACCAUUAUCAUUAAGGCCGGAUUCUAUGAAUAAGUUGACUGUUUCCCAAAAUCAAUCUAGGAAUAAAAUCAAUAGGUGGCAGUAUGUCACAUCUGUAUUUAGGGGGAUUAAUCACCUAAUAUCAAUUUGUCCAUUUUCUGUGCACAUUUAAUCCUGUUAGGGGUCAUAUAGUCAUGCAGUAGACAGAGUUACCACUUAACCUCACUUAUAUAUCUCAUGGCUGUUGGAAGAAGUAGAAAAUCAACAGUAAAGUAGCACAGUUGUUUGUACCUCGAAUGUCAGUUUUUUUUUUGUACAAUCCUCAUUUUCUAAUAUGACAGCACUUGGUUUUCUCCUGUAACAUUUCUAGCCUAUUGUCACUGCUUAAAAGAAACAGGCAUUUGUUUCCCCAGGGAAUCAAAUAGUUGUGGAUUACCAAUUAGAAGUUCCAAGAAACUCUGAUCAACUUAAAAAGUUAAGAAAAAUUAAAAAUAAGCUUGAAAAUUGUGCCACCGCUGAUUUUGCUAAAAACAAUUAUUUCUUAACAUUUUUCCCCCAAAUCAGUAUAAAUUCUCUUGCAUUAAAGGUUUGAUUUUUCUCAAAUGUUUAGUGCGAGAUUAUGCUACUUGAAUAAUUUAUUUGAAGUUGAUACACAUCUUUACUGGGGUGCCAACAAAUUUGCUCAUGUCUUUGCAGUCUACCUGCAAAGGAUAGCCACAGUCUAGUUCUGAUAGCAGUUAGCAUUUCAAAGUAACCCAAGGGCACUCUAUUGGCAUAGUUAUUGUGUAAAUUGGUUAUUUCCCACAGUUUAAUAAUAAUAAUAAUUUUAAAGUAAUAGUACAUGAGUAUAAAAUGAAAAAAUUAAUUAAAUAGAUAUUAGUAAGGGUCCAGUGAAAUAGCCUAAUAUUUAAUUAAUUGGGCUUGUAAUAUGGGAACCAGCCUCAAACUGUAUUUACAGCACCAUGCUGUGAAUCUUACUCCCAUCUUCAGAUGCAAAAUUUUCCACUCUGUGAAAUAUAAAUGUUAAAUGUAAAACCUCAAAAUCUGCAUGUAGAAGUCUCAGCAUCUGCAAGACAUGCAAAGACCAACUAAAUAACCCACUUUCUGACAGCUUGUUUUUCAAAUUUGGGGAGCUUCUCAAAAGCUAAACUAUCUGAGAAGCCUCUGAUUCUUUUAGUGUCUGUUUUAGUAUCUUUGCUUUCUACUGCUGCAGGCUCAUGUGAGAGGAAUCAACCAGCAGAACAGGAAGGAGAGAAAGACGCAGCACCCGUUCCUCACCCACACAGACUCCCUCUGCUCCUUAUAGAAAGGGAGGAGUGGAUGACAGGACAGGGAAAACAGUAAUUUGGUAUUUCAGUAACAGUCAGGAUGCUGUCAUAAUUUCCACUCUUUUUUUUUUUCUCACUUUUUGAAAAUCAGUUCAAUUCCACUUUUACUUAUUUGACUGUGUCUUCAUCAUCAGACGCAAUCCAUCAGUAUAUUAGGUUAACACUCUGCAGAGUAAUCACCAAUUGGCAAAAAGCCAUUAUCCUACAAAGAUCAUAGUAAUGAUGAGUCUGACAACCUUUGUGUCCCCUUAUUUAGUUUAUUUCAUUUAAGUGAUGUGUCGUGUAGCAGUCAGAUAGACAGCAGACAAUCAUCUAUGCAACAUCAUCAUCAUUUAUUCCUUCAACAUAACCAUGAAAGCUGAUUUCCCUGCUGUGUUUCAUUAAUCUAAAAAUGUGUGGGCCUUCUAAGAGAAUAAUUUGCACACCUCCUGUUUCUGAGGAAAAGCCCCUUUAAUAUUCUAACUCAUGCAAGGAAACAAACUUAAUGUGACCCUUGUAAUAAGAGAGCAGCCUUUGCAGUCUCCAGCUCCUGUUUUCCACCAACAGCAGUCCAGGAGCCCCAGCUGAAUAUCAAGUGAUUUUCAGAGAUGCUGACAGGCCAGAGGCCAAAAAGCAACACAAGUACUAGUUUGUCUUGGGCUCAGUCACAGAACAAAGAACCACAGAACCACCAACCUAAUCCCAAAUCAAGUUCUAUUAGUACAGAGUCCUGACCAUCCACUCUCAAUUGCCUUCUUUGGAUUCAACCACAUUGUGCAUAAUUCAUCACCACAGAGAAAAAAGCUGUUGGAAUCUGUUGGAAGCUGCUGGAAUCAAAGGCAGAUAAACAGAAUAUUUUGCACUAUACAAAACCUGAGGAACAGAUUUUGACUAUUUGCAAAAAAGCAUGUGCAAAAGAGCUUAAAGGGCAGCAAACACAAGACUGUUGAGAAUUGGUGGAGACAGAACACCACACUAAAAGCAUAACACGGUGGCUGCACAAGAGGAGAGCGGUAAUGGCAAAAUGUCCAGCUCAAAUGGAAGUUUUAAAGGUGAAGAUUGAUAUGAUGAGCUGUCAAGUCAGAAGCAAAUAUUUCUGGGAGCAGAUGUAACAACAUGCUUGGAGAUGUAAACUGGGACACUACCCAAAGAUUUAAAAGCAUUCUUUAGUGAUCCCAGUCUCCACGUAAUUCGCUACUAUGGGCAGUGAUAUCUUGUGACAACAACUGUAAUUGAAGUAAAUAAAAUUCUUGUAGCAUUCAGACA